rfam:Selaginella moellendorffii unplaced genomic scaffold SELMOscaffold_68, whole genome shotgun sequence.
CCCGCUGAGUUUAAGCAUAUCACUAAGCGGAGGAAAAGAAACUAACAAGGAUUUCCCUAGUAGCGGCGAGCGAAACGGAAAGAGCCCAGCUUGGAAAUCGGGGUGUCUCUGCACCCCGAAUUGUAGUCUGGAGAAGGGUCCUCUGCAGCGGACCGGGUUUAAGUCCCUUGGAACGGGACGCCAGAGAGGGUGAGAGCCCCGUCUAGCCCGGACCCUGCUGCAUCACGAGGCUCUUUCGGCGAGUCGGGCUGUUUGGGAAUGCAGCCUUAAGUGGGUGGUAAAUUCCAUCCAAGGCUAAAUACUGGUGAGAGACCGAUAGCGCACAAGUACCGCGAGGGAAAGAUGAAAAGGACUUUGAAAAGAGAGUUAAAAAGUGCUUGAAAUUGCUGGGAGGGAAGCGAAUGGAUGCCUUGUGCGCCCCUUGGUUGUGUGUGGAACGGCGAGAGCUGGUCUGCCAAGCAAUGCAAGGGGCUGUCCAGCAUGGGAGGACGCGGCGGGAUAACGGCUUGUGAGCCUCUGGCUCCCUGCCAAUGCCGCCGCUGCCUCUGAAAAUGGCGGGGUGCUCCGGUGCCCCGCCAGAUGCUGGAACUUGGGCGUUCCAUCCGACCCGUCUUGAAACACGG